rnacentral:tRNA from 1 species
GCGGAUAUGGCGGAACUGGUAGACGCACUGGAUUUAGGUUCCAGCGCCGCGAGGCGUGGGGGUUCGACUCCCUCUAUCCGCACCA